AUGAGGCGGACCCCACGACUGCGGAGCCAGGCCACAACCGGACGCAUUCGUUUCGUGAAACACCGCGGUGCUGAGGAAAGGCCGAAAGGGAGACAAGAGAACCGCCAGAUCUCUCCCUUCCACAGGAAACGCAGCAAGUCCCUGGAGGGGGCGGACAUGGGGACUGUCAAGUAAGCGUCCUGGAGGUCUAGUUUUACAAACCAAUCGCUCGGCAUAAGGAGAUCUCGGAGUAGAUGGAUGCCCUCCAUCUUGAAGUGGCGAUAGCGGACAAUCGCAUUCAGAGCCCGCAAAUUGAUAACUGGGCGCAUCUGACCCCCUUUCUUCUGGACCAGAAAGAUAGAGCUGACGACCCCUUUCCGUGAGCCACGAGGGGCCCUUUC